CGCCGGGAUGUCCCGAGCGGGUGGGGCUCCCCGCCCGGGGCUUCUCCAUCUUCCUGGGGGGACGGGGACGGCGUCCCGAGGGUCCUCCCAGGCGGGGUGGGCUGAAGGAGUGCGGAGAUCCCCGUUCAUCCCCUGAAUUGCGCUCACGAGCCGGUGGGCCGAGGGUCGCGAGGAGCUGAAACCCAAGUCUAAGGUCUCCGCGCCCCCUGCCGCCUUCCCCUAAAGUAACCCUGUGAGCUGCAAGUUGGGAGUUGCCAACUGUCUCAAAAUGGAAGGCAAGUCUCUUCCAGAUGUGUCUUCUCCGCUAAACAAGCCAAGAUGUCUUUGUUGGCUGUGAGUGUCUUUCUGGGUCUGGAAGUGUCUCUGCAGAUUCUGAGACCAGAAAGAGCCUAAGAUUGAGCUGUCCUUUCUUAGUUCCGGCAGAUUUCGGAUUGGAGUUGGUCAUGGGAAUGCCUCAGCAUCUCUUUCAGUUCGCUGGAGUGAUGGACAGUUUAUCACUGCUAUCACUUCCGUGCCAUUGGGCCUUUUCCAGGGACUAGAUUUUGUAGUAGAAAUCAUACAGAUAGAGAGGGAAAAAAGACCUAGAAGACAUUAAGCUGCACUAGGAGCAGAGGAAAGGUGUGAUAAGAGGCAAAGGAGGAAGAAAUGGAAGUUUUAAUGGAAUAUGAUGAAAGAACAAGAGGCCAAGGUAGGGCCAUCACUGAGUUUAUCAAUAAAAACUGGGCUCAAGUAA